UACGAAGGGGGCGAGCGUUGUUCGGAUUUACUGGGCGUAAAGGGCGCGCAGGCGGCGCAUUUUGUCAGGCGUGAAAGCCCCGGGCUUAACCUGGGAACUGCGUUUGAUACGGAUGGGCUAGAGUUCGGGAGAGGAGAGUGGAAUUCCCAGUGUAGAGGUGAAAUUCGUAGAUAUCCGGAGGAACACCGGUGGCGAAGGCGGCUUCCUGGACCGACACUGACGCUGAGGCGCGAAAGCUAGGGGAGCAAACAGG
rnacentral:rRNA from 1 species